UGGGGGAAUAUUGGGCAAUGGACGCAAGUCUGACCCAGCAACGCCGCGUGAAGGAAGAAGGCUUUCGGGUUGUAAACUUCUUUUAAGGGGGAAGAGCAGAAGACGGUACCCCUUGAAUAAGCCACGGCUAACUACGUGCCAGCAGCCGCGGUAAUACGGAGGGUGCAAGCGUUAAUCGGAAUAACUGGGCGUAAAGGGCAUGCAGGCGGUUCAUCAAGUAGGAUGUGAAAUCCCCGGGCUCAACCUGGGAACAGCAUACUAAACUGGUGGACUAGAGUAUUGCAGGGGGAGACGGAAUUCCAGGUGUAGCG
rnacentral:rRNA from 1 species